rnacentral:tRNA from 1 species
GCGUCGUUAGCUCAUUGGUUAGAGCGCCAGUCUUACAGGCUGGGCGUAGCUGGUUCAAUUCCAGCACGGCGCA